rnacentral:ncRNA from 1 species
UCAUAAAAAAGGCAAAAUUAGGGUAACUUAAUGACGCAAAACUACAGGGUCCAAAUUAGGAUAGCCAGUUGCUAUA